AUUGAACGCUGGCGGCAUGCCUUACACAUGCAAGUCGAACGGCAGCAUGAUCUAGCUUGCUAGAUUGAUGGCGAGUGGCGAACGGGUGAGUAAUACAUCGGAACGUGCCCUGUAGUGGGGGAUAACUAGUCGAAAGAUUAGCUAAUACCGCAUACGACCUGAGGGUGAAAGUGGGGGACCGCAAGGCCUCAUGCUAUAGGAGCGGCCGAUGUCUGAUUAGCUAGUUGGUGAGGUAAAGGCUCACCAAGGCGACGAUCAGUAGCUGGUCUGAGAGGACGAUCAGCCACACUGGGACUGAGACACGGCCCAGACUCCUACGGGAGGCAGCAGUGGGGAAUUUUGGACAAUGGGGGCAACCCUGAUCCAGCAAUGCCGCGUGUGUGAAGAAGGCCCUUCGGGUUGUAAAGCACUUUUGUCCGGAAAGAAAUCGCAAU
rnacentral:rRNA from 1 species